rnacentral:lncRNA from 1 species
CAGCAAUCAUUCCCAAGGAAGAGAGACCCUGGGCAAUGAGGUUCCGGAAAUGAUUCAGGAAAUGCCUUGGAUGUUACUUCUGCAGACAGAUCUGGGGAUCCUUUUAAACCUUGUUACAAUAAGAUCUACCUAUUCACAGCCGUCUCACGCUGAAGGUCUAACUCCGCAUCCGAAAGUCCGAGCCAAUUGCCUCCAAUGAGCUGCAUCUAGAAACCAC